GGCAAACCUGCCGAAAGGCGGGGACGCAAAACCAAGUAUCUAAAGCGGCGGUAGCCGCCAUGAUCGACUGGCUGCA
rnacentral:ncRNA from 1 species